AAUGAACGUUGGCGGCGUGGAUUAGGCAUGCAAGUCGUACGAGAAUCGUAGCAAUACGAGGAAAGUGGCGGAAGGGAGAGGAUUACGUGGGAAUCUACCCUCAGAACUGGGAUAGCGGCGGGAAACUGCCGGUAAUACCAGAUAAUGUCUGUGGACCAAAGGUGUGAUUUCGUCUGGGGAUGAGCCCACGUCCUAUUAGCUAGUUGGCAGGGUAAUGGCCUACCAAGGCAAUGAUGGGUAGCGGGUGUGAGAGCAUGACCCGCCUCAUCUGGGACUGAGAACUGCCCAGACACCUACGGGUGGCUGCAGUCGAGAAUCUUCGGCAAUGAGCGCAAGCUUGACCGAGCGACGCCGCGUGCGGGAUGAAGGCCUUCGGGUUGUAAACCGCUGUCGUAGGGGAGCAAGAGAUGAGGGUACUCCCUCUGAUUUGAGCGAUCCUAGGAGGAAGGACGGGCUAAGUUCGUGCCAGCCGCCGCUGUAACAC
rnacentral:rRNA from 1 species